UACGUAGGGAGCAAGCGUUGUCCGGAAUCAUUGGGCGUAAAGCGCGCGUAGGCGGCCCUGUAAGUCCGUUGUGAAAGUCAAAGGCUCAACCUUUGAAAGCCGAUGGAUACUGCAGGGCUAGAGUCCGGAAGAGGCGAGUGGAAUUCCUGGUGUAGCGGUGGAAUGCGCAGAUAUCAGGAGGAACACCAAUAGCGAAGGCAGCUCGUGGGACGGUACUGACGCUAAGGCGCGAAAGCGUGGGGAGCGAACAGG
rnacentral:rRNA from 1 species